rnacentral:lncRNA from 1 species
CGCACAUGUCUGAUGGAGGAGUCGCCCUCAGAAAGUAGAUGACCCGCUCCAGCUGAUGAGAGGGGCAGAGAGGACCCAGCUGAGAAGUGGAGGGAAUCUCUGAACAGCGCUUGAGGAACGAACAUAUGAUAAGUUCUCAGCCUCUGCUAGUCAGGAGAAUGCAAAUUAAAGCCAACACAAGAUACUAGAGGCCCCCAGACUAGCACAGCGUCAGGAGGGUGCGGCACUGUGGGCUCUGGGCCAGGGCGACCCUGCCUCUUCCUCAGUCUGGAGGAACCUGCCCUGACCCAGGAGGACCACAUCGGGCUCGCUGCGGAGCCUGUAUCCCAGCGGAAAGGAGACGUGGUCACAUGACAGACCGGGAGGAGCGCACGCUGCGAGCGUGCCCAGGGCUUGCUGUCUACGUGAAGCUCAACGCGUGAGCCGCGUGCGCGCACUGCAUGGGGUCACCGCACAGCGACAAGUGGUUUGCGCUCUGUGGGCGUUGGGGGCGAGGGGAGGGGAGGGGAGAGGCGGGAGCACGAGGUCUUCUGCGUCCUCCACAGGUCACUGGUGGCCUUCAGGGCCUUUAAAAUUAAAUGCCGAUUAUAUGAGAAAAAAUCCCCUGUCGAGCUCCUGCCUCGCCGCCCGCCCGCCCGGAACCGAAACACAGUGGCAGAGGCAGGACUUAGGGGGCCACAGCAAGACCCUGGCGAGGGCGGGGCUGGGAGCGGGAUGCGUGGCCACGUGCGGUCAGCGGGGACUCGCCAUGGGCGGCACCCACCACCCAGCUGUGGCCCCAGAGGCCGGAAGAUUAAUCGAUCAGCUGCCUGCGCCGUCAGGUCUGUUCCUGGAAAAAGGAAAAACUGUCCCGAGUCCUGCGGCCCGUCCUCCUGGCAGCGCACCCCUUCCUGCACCAGCAGUCUCUCCCGAGUGACCCACUCCCUGCAGCUUGCAAACCCCAAGACGCCAGCCUCUACAGCACCAGAGCCCCGCAUGCCGCCCCUCCCCAGCCACGGCUGCACGUCUCUGCGCCCCUCGGCACUCACGGAGCGGCAGUGCAGUCUUCCCUGGAGCGCACCUGCAGUAUGUUGGCUCUGAACACGGCCUGACUUCCGUCGAGACCACUUCUGUCCUCGGCAGUCCACACAAGCAACUUGCCUUUUGAUUUCUCUCCCGACAGGGCACCUGGCAGCCUUCCUGCUCUCUUCCUAGGGAAGGGAAUAUGAGCAACUGUGUGCUGGUUGGGAAAGGAGAUGUUCUGUAUGUAAAGGGAAGUUUAAGCCUUCCGGAAAAGCCAUUUAUUAUAAAAGGAUAUCGUAAAUUGUUUUUUUAAAGAUGGCCUACUCUUUCCUUCCUUUUUGAGAUGGUGGUGUAAAGAUGUGAUGCCUUGAGCUAUGGCAGCCCCUUGGGCCUUGAGGCAACAUACAAAAAACCAAAAAUCGUAUGUGGUGAC